rnacentral:snRNA from 1 species
UUGCUUUGGCAGUAAACUAAAACUGGAACAAUGCAGAGAUUAGCAUGACCCCUGAGUAAAGAUGACACACAAAUUCGUGAAAUGUUCCAUAUUGAU